rnacentral:rRNA from 1 species
UACAGAGGGGGCAAGCGUUAUUCGGAAUUAUUGGGCGUAAAGAGCUCGUAGGCGGCUUGUUGCGUCGGAUGUGAAAGCUCGGGGCUUAACCCUGGGUCUGCAUUCGAUACGGGCAGGCUAGAGUGUGGCAGGGGGGACUGGAAUUCCUGGUGUAGCGGUGAAAUGCGCAGAUAUCAGGAGGAACACCGGUGGCGAAGGCGGGUCUCUGGGCCAAUACUGACGCUGAGGAGCGAAAGCGUGGGGAGCGAACAGG